AGUGAACGCUGGCGGUAGGCCUAACACAUGCAAGUCGAACGGCAGCACAGUAAGAGCUUGCUCUUACGGGUGGCGAGUGGCGGACGGGUGAGGAAUACAUCGGAAUCUACUUUUUCGUGGGGGAUAACGUAGGGAAACUUACGCUAAUACCGCAUACGACCUACGGGUGAAAGCAGGGGAUCUUCGGACCUUGCGCGAUUGAAUGAGCCGAUGUCGGAUUAGCUAGUUGGCGGGGUAAAGGCCCACCAAGGCGACGAUCCGUAGCUGGUCUGAGAGGAUGAGAAGCCACACUGGAACUGAGACACGGUCCAGACUCCUACGGGAGGCAGCAGUGGGGAAUAUUGGACAAUGGGCGCAAGCCUGAUCCAGCCAUACCGCGUGGGUGAAGAUGGCCUUCGGGUUGUAAAGCCCUUUUGUUGGGAAAGAAAAGCAGCAGGUUAAUACCCCGCUGUUCUGACGGUACCCAAAGAAUAAGCACCGGCUAACUUCGUG
rnacentral:rRNA from 1 species